rnacentral:rRNA from 1 species
CCUACGGGGGGCAGCAGUGAGGAAUAUUGGUCAAUGGGCGAGAGCCUGAACCAGCCAAGUCGCGUGAGGGAUGACGGCCCUACGGGUUGUAAACCUCUUUUGUCGGGGAGCAAAUUCCGCUUCGUGUAGCCGGAGCGAGAGUACCCGAAGAAAAAGCAUCGGCUAACUCCGUGCCAGCAGCCGCGGUAAUACGGAGGAUGCGAGCGUUAUCCGGAUUUAUUGGGUUUAAAGGGUGCGCAGGCGGACCAUCAAGUCAGCGGUAAAAUCGUGGGGCUCAACCUCAUCCCGCCGUUGAAAC